GGGGAAAAUUAAAAAUUUAAGUUUAAUAAAAAAAAUUUUAAUAUUAAAAAGAAAAAUGGGGGUUUAAGUAUUUUUAAUAGAAAAAAUUAAUAUUUUUAUAGUUAAAUAUUACUGUAAAGGAAUUUAUAAAUAAAUGAAAUAAAAUUAAUAAUAAAGUAAAUUUAAUUUAUUGUAUCUUGUGUAUCAGAGUUUAUUAAAUAAUAAUAAUUUAUUUAAAUAAAUCUCGAAUUUAAAAGAGUUAAUUAAUUAAUAAAGUUAAUGUUGAAUAAUUAUUUUUAAUAAUUAAUUAGAAAUGAAAUGUUAAUCGUUUUUAAAUAUAUCUAGUUUUUUCAGAAAAAAAUUUAAUUUUAAAUUUAAAUAAUUUUAUAAUUAAUUAAUUAAUUAUAAAAAUUUAAAAUUUAAUAUUUUAGGGGAUAAGCUUUAAAUUAAAAAUUUAUAAUUAAAUUAAAAUUAAAAUUAAAAUUUUUAAAAUUUAUAUUGUUUAAAAAUUAUAAUUUACUAUAAAAAAUUUUAUUUAAAAUAAAAUUUAAAAUAAAAAAAUUUAAAUUUUUAUGAAAAAAUAAUUUAUAAUUUAAUAAAAUUAGAAAUAAUGAUAAAAUUAGUAUAAUAUAAUAAAUAAAAUAAAAUUUAUAAAUAAUUAAAUUAAAGGAAUUCGGCAAAAAUUUAUAUUCACUUGUUUAUCAAAAACAUGUCUUUUUGUUAAUAAUUUAAAGUCUAAUCUGCCCACUGAUAUAAAUAUUAAAGGGCUGCAGUAUAUUGACUGUACAAAGGUAGCAUAAUCAUUAGUCUUUUAAUUGAAGACUUGUAUGAAAGAUUUGAUGAAAUAUAAACUGUCUCUGAUUUAUGUUUAGAAAUUAAUUUUUUAGUUAAAAAGCUAAAAUAAAGUUAAAAGACGAGAAGACCCUAUAGAGUUUUAUAUUUUAUUUAUUUAAUUUUAAAUAUAUAAUUAAAUAUAUUAAUUAAAUAAAAUAUUGUAUUGGGGUGAUAGAAAAAUUUAAUAAACUUUUUUUAAAAAUAAACAUAAAUAAAUGAAUAAUUGAUCCAUUUAUAGUGAUUAAAAGAAAAAAUUACCUUAGGGAUAACAGCGUAAUAUUUUUUUUUAGUACAAAUAAAAAAAAAAGUUUGCGACCUCGAUGUUGGAUUAAGAUAAAAUUUAAAUGCAAAAGUUUAAAAUUUUGAUCUGUUCGAUCAUUAAAAUCUUACAUGAUCUGAGUUCAAACCGGUGUAAGCCAGGUUGGUUUCUAUCUUUAAUAAAAAAAAAUAUUUUAGUACGAAAGGAUCAAAUAUUUAAAAUAAUUUUAAUUAAAAUGAAUAUUAAUAAUAUAAUAUAU
rnacentral:rRNA from 1 species